rnacentral:rRNA from 1 species
AGCGAACGCUGGCGGCAGGCUUAACACAUGCAAGUCGAGCGGGCGUAGCAAUACGUCAGCGGCAGACGGGUGAGUAACGCGUGGGAACGUACCUUUUGGUUCGGAACAACACAGGGAAACUUGUGCUAAUACCGGAUAAGCCCUUACGGGGAAAGAUUUAUCGCCGAAAGAUCGGCCCGCGUCUGAUUAGCUAGUUGGUGUGGUAACGGCGCACCAAGGCGACGAUCAGUAGCUGGUCUGAGAGGAUGAUCAGCCACAUUGGGACUGAGACACGGCCCAAACUCCUACGGGAGGCAGCAGUGGGGAAUAUUGGACAAUGGGCGCAAGCCUGAUCCAGCCAUGCCGCGUGAGUGAUGAAGGCCCUAGGGUUGUAAAGCUCUUUUGUGCGGGAAGAUAAUGACGGUACCGCAAGAAU